ensembl:lncRNA CYP4A22-AS1 CYP4A22 antisense RNA 1
GAAGUUGAGCUUCAGGCGCGGCUCUUCCCCGUCACACUGGGACCGGACGCAUUUCCAUGGCGUGGUCCCAGGAACCUCUCAGAGUGAACUGAAUUGGAUGCAAGAUCACGGUGCGUCAGAGCUAGCAAGAUCCUUAGGAUCAUUUAGCCUGGUUUACUAAUAUUACACUAUGGAAUUUAAGCCCAAGGAAUGGAGAGUACCCGACGAGCGUUAUGUAAGGAGUCGAGUGAGAAGUAAGCUGGAUGCUCUGCUUGGCUGGCAGGUACAGAAUGUGCCAGACCCAUCUGUACCAGCCUGGAUCUCUUGAGGCAUCAGCACAAUGGACCUGGCCACACCAGUUUAUUCCACACCGCUGAGGCUGGUCUUUGAGGAAUCACCACACUGUCUUCCACAAUGCACCAUGGAAUACUAUGCAGACAUAAAAAGGAAUGAGAUCAUGUCGUUUGCAGGGACAUGGAUGGAGCUAGAAGCCAUUAUCCUCAGAAAACUAACACAGGAACAGAAAACCAAAUACCACAUGUUCUCACUUAUAAGUGGGAGCUGAAUGAUGAGAACACAUGGACACGUGGUGCGGGAACAAUACACCUGGGGCCUGUUGGAGGGUGGGGGCUGGGAGGAGGGAGAGCAUCAAGAAUAGCUAAUGAGGCCAGGCACAGUGGCUCACGCCUGUAAUCCUAGCAUUUUGGGAGGCUGAGGCGGGCAGAUCAUUUGAGGUCAGGAGUUUGAGACCAGCCUGGCCAAUAUGGUGAAACCCCGUCUCUAUUAAAAAUACAAAAAUAUUAGCCAGGCAUGGUGGCAAUGCCCGUAGUCCCUGCAACUUGGGAGGCUGAGGCAGGAGAAUCGUUUGAACCUGGGAGGUGGAGUUUGCAGUGAGCCAAGAUCGCGCCACUGCACUCCAGCCUGGGCGACAGAGUGAGGCUC